rnacentral:rRNA from 1 species
UGAACUCCACAUACGCAUCCUUUGCUGAGGAUACGGUUAACGGAGCGAAAGCGACGUUCAACCGCAAAAGAAGCAGAGGGGGCUUAGUGGUGGGGUGACUGCGUACCUUUUGUAUAAUGGGUCAGCGACUUAUAUUCUGUAGCAAGGUUAACCGAAUAGGGGAGCCGGAGGGAAACCGAGUCUUAAUUGGGCGUUAAGUUGCAGGGUAUAGACCCGAAACCCGGUGAUCUAGCCAUGGGCAGGUUGAAGGUUGGGUAACACUAACUGGAGGACCGAACCGACUAAUGUUGAAAAAUUAGCGGAUGACCUGUGGCUGGGGGUGAAAGGCCAAUCAAACCGGGAGAUAGCUGGUUCUCCCCGAAAGCUAUUUAGGUAGCGCCUCGUGAAUUCAUCUCCGGGGGUAGAGCACUGUUUCGGCUAGGGGGCCAUCCCGGCUUACCAACCCGAUGCAAACUGCGAAUACCGGAGAAUGUUAUCACGGGAGACACACGGCGGGUGCUAACGUCCGUCGUGAAGAGGGAAACAACCCAGACCGCCAGCUAAGGUCCCAAAGUCAUGGUUAAGUGGGAAACGAUGUGGGAAGGCCCAGACAGCCAGGAUGUUGGCUUAGAAGCAGCCAUCAUUUAAAGAAAGCGUAAUAGCUCACUGGUCGAGUCGGCCUGCGCGGAAGAUGUAACGGGGCUAAACCAU